rnacentral:rRNA from 1 species
UCGAGCGGCAGCAGAGAAAGUAGCUUGUUACUUUUGCCGGCGAGCGGCGAAUGGGUGAGUAAAGCCUGGGGAUCUGCGCGGUCUAGGGGGAUAACAGUUGGAAUCGACCGCUAAAACCGCAAACGCCCUACGGGGGAAAGGAUGGGACCUUCGGGCCUUUCACGAUUGUAUGAACCCUUGUGGGAUUAGCUAGUUGGUGGGUUAAUGGCUCAACAAUGCGACGAUGCCUAGAUGGGCUGAUAGGAUGAUCUGCCACUGUGAAACUGACACAACGCCCACACUCCUACGGGAGGCAGAAUUGUGGAAUAUGGCACAAUGGCUGAAACCCUGAUGCCGCCUGGCCGCGUGUGGGAAUAAGGUCGUCGGGUUGUUUAGCUCUUUAGGAGAGGAGGAAAGGUUGUAGCCGAAUACUUGGCCGUUGUGACGUUACUCACCAAAGAAUCACUCGGUGACUCCGUGCCCGCAACCGCGGAAGUAGCGAGCGUGCAU